UCUUACUCUUCUUUUUCAAAACGUGAGUAGAGAAGAUGAGGAGUGCUGUUAUACUGCUUUUCAUAGGCGGAAGAAUGAUUUCAUAAUCACACUGUAACAGGAGGUUUUUCAGAGUCCCAUUCUCAUGUAAACAACUACUUAAAAGAAGUGUUGAUUCAAAUCCAAAUCCAGUAAGAGGAAAAACUUGCAUCCUAGAUCUGCAGAA